rnacentral:lncRNA from 13 species
GGAGCUGCUGAUGUGCUGGAGAUCCAGGAGGCGCAAAAUCGUGGUGAACGCACCAUGACAGUGCCCUCAGCAAAGUCCAGACGGCUGGAGUGCAGUGGCGUGAUCACAGCUCAACGCAGCCCCAACCUCCUGGGAUCACGCCAUUCUCCUGCCUCAGCCUCCUGAGUAACUGGGAUUACAGAAGUACACCACCAUGCCUAGCUUGAUUUUUAUACGGGAUAAAAGGAAGAGACUGUGAAAAUUUGGAAGAUUUUGCUUUAUUCUGCUAGUUUGGUGGAGUGGGGAGUGCUACAUGAAUAUUUAGUAAUCUGGGCCUUGGACAAGAUGAUUAAGAAACAAUAAUACAGUAACCUGUUCAACUCCUGGAGCUGUCACUGAGCCAAGAGGUAUGUUUGCUUGAAUGAUUUAACCUCUAUAAGUGUUAACAUUCUUGUCUGUAAAAUGGAAAUGGUCUCUAUCCCUAACCCUGAUGAGAAAUGAGAGAGCUCUUUCCAAACUUUUCUGGAUGUUUCUUGGAACCACGAUGCAAGUUUAGGUGCCAGCUUGAGGGGUUGUGGUU